rnacentral:misc_RNA from 1 species
UCUUAUUACUUUGACCAUAUUUUUAUCUUCCAUCUCUAUUUUGCCAAUUUGUUUAUGCAACAUAAAAUAAUAUAUAUCUUUUGUUCAAUCCAUGUCAAUAUCUAUUUUAUUUUUUACAUUAUUUGAAUAAAACAUUCAAAAACAUGAACAUUAAAAAAAUAUAAAAAAUAAAUUUAAGGUUUAAAGUACAAAAUAAAAACCCUGGCAAUAACUUACUCUCCCGCGAACUCGCAGUACCAUCAGCGAAUAAGAGUAUACAUGGUCAGAGUGUUAGAGUAUAUGGUGAAUGCCUAGGAGCUUUAUGGCGAAGAAGGACGUAAAAUUAAUUUUUUAUAU